UACCUGUGAUGAGCUCUUCUCGACGGGCGGACAUAAGGAAAUCACCUCUGGUGCUUUUUGCUGAAUGUCGAGUUCUGAGUG
rnacentral:snoRNA from 1 species